UAUAGAGGGUAGGUAGACACCACAUGAUCCUGACUCAUAGAGGGUAGGUAGACACCACAUGAUCCUGACUCAUAGAGGGUAGGUAGACACCACAUGAUCCUGACUCAUAGAGGGUAGGUAGACACCACAUGAUCCUGACUCAUAGAGGGUAGGUAGACACCACAUGAUCCUGUCUCAUAGAGGGUAGGUAGACACCACAUGAUCCUGUCUUAUAGAGGGUAGGUAGACACCACAUGAUCCUGUCUUAUAGAGGGUAGGUAGACACCACAUGAUCCUGUCUUAUAGAGGGUAGGUAGACACCACAUGAUCCUGUCUCAUAGAGGGUAGGUAGACACCACAUGAUCCUGUCUUAUAGAGGGUAGGUAGACACCACAUGAUCCUGUCUCAUAGAGGGUAGGUAGACACCACAUGAUCCUGACUCAUAGAGGGUAGGUAGACACCACAUGAUCCUGUCUCAUAGA